rnacentral:lncRNA from 1 species
CUAAUAUUGUGAAAUAAACUCACUGCAGGGAUCCCUGAGUUUAAAAUCCUCAAAUCUUUACACUUGCUGAUUGCAUGGAAAGCCAAGAAGUCUCAGAGACAAGAUGCUCACUCGAUGCCUCAGGAACUUUUCAGCCCGAAUGUCAUUGGACCCACCUGUCAUCUGCCUCUGCCUUUUGCUGUCAGGCUAUCCAUGACUUUAAGGUAGGUCACCUUUCUUUGAUAUUCUGCCUCUUUAUAGGUU